AUACGGAGGGGGCUAGCGUUGUUCGGAAUUACUGGGCGUAAAGCGCGCGUAGGCGGGCUGGUCAGUUGGUGGUGAAAUCCCAGGGCUCAACCCUGGAACUGCCUUCAAUACUGCCAGUCUUGAGUCCGGGAGAGGUGAGUGGAAUUCCUAGUGUAGAGGUGAAAUUCGUAGAUAUUAGGAGGAACACCAGUGGCGAAGGCGGCUCACUGGCCCGGUACUGACGCUGAGGUGCGAAAGCGAGGGGAGCAAACAGGAUUAGAUACCCUUGUAGUCC
rnacentral:rRNA from 1 species